rnacentral:rRNA from 1 species
GACGAACGCUGGCGGCGUGCUUAACACAUGCAAGUCGAACGGAAAGGCCCUGCUUGUGUGGGGUGCUCGAGUGGCGAACGGGUGAGUAACACGUGAGUAACCUGCCCUUGACUUUGGGGUAACUUCAGGAAACUGGGGCUAAUACCGGAUAGGAGAUGCUGCUGCAUGGUGGGGGUGGGAAAGUUUCGGCGGUUGGGGAUGGACUCGCGGCUUAUCAGCUUGUUGGUGGGGGAGUGGCUUACCAAGGCUUUGACGGGUAGCCCGCCUGGGUGGGUGACCGGCCACAUUGGGACUGAGAUACGGCCCAGUGUCCUACGGGAGGCAGCAGUGGGGAAUAUGGCACAAUGGGCGGAAGCCUGAUGCAGCAACGCCGCGUGCGGGAUGACGGCCUUCGGGUUGUAAAACGCUUUAGCCUGUGACGCAGCGUGAGUGACGGUAAUGGGUAAAGAAGCACCGGCUAACUACGUG